AAAACGCCCUUAAAUCCCCACUAGGGAUAAGGAGCUGGUAUCAGGCACAAUAAUUUGCCCAAGACACCUAGCUUUGCCACACCCACAAGGGAAUUCAGCAGUGAUUAACAUUGAACAUAAGCGACAGCUUGAUUCAGUUAAAGUAAAUAGAGCCGGCUAAUCUGGUGCCAGCCGCCGCGGUUACACCACGUGGCUCAAAUUGAUUUCUAUCGGCGUAAAGCGUGAUUUAAGAGCCCCUAAAAAUUGAAGUAAAACUAAAACUAAGCCGUGACACGCUUGUUAUUAAGAAAAUCAAGAACGAAAGUCACUUCAAUCAUUUCAACUUGAAUUCACGACAACUAGGACACAAACUGGGAUUAGAUACCCCACUAUGCCUAGUCGUAAACUUUAAAUUACACCACCAUCGCCAGGGAACUACGAGCUAAGCUUAAAACCCAAAGGACUUGACGGUACCCCACAUCCACCUAGAGGAGCCUGUCCUAUAAUCGAUAACCCCCGUUUAACCUCACCACUUUUAGCCUAUCAGCCUGUAUACCUCCGUCGUCAGCUUACCACGUGAGCGACCUCUAGUGAGCUUAAUGCCCCUACACCAACACGUCAGGUCAAGGUGCAGCAUAUAAAGUGGGAAGAGAUGGGCUACACUUUCUAAAUUAGAAUAUACGAAAGACUAUUUAUGAAACCUAGUCAGAAGGCGGAUUUAGUAGUAAAAAGAAACUAGAGCGUUCUUUUUAACCCGGCACUGGGGUGUGUACACACCGCCCGUCACCCUCUUCAAAGCAAACAAACAGUAUGUAACCAACUUCUGCAUCACAGAAG
rnacentral:rRNA from 1 species